rnacentral:lncRNA from 1 species
AGGAACAGUAUGUAGAUCAUUUUGGAUAGUGCCAUAUAGGAGUGUAACAUCUUUUAGCAAGAUAUUGGUUGGCCAUCAAACCCUGCCCCCCCCAACUACAACAACAACUACAACAACAACAACAACAAACUCUGGGUUUUGUAGUUCUUCUCAGUUUGGGAAGAGAGGAAACUAACCCAAAUUAAGCCCUCAAGGCAAAAAGCAGAAUUUUUCAUUUACUCUUUUUUUAGGGAGUCUCCAGGAAGAGAGAAGAAGGGAGAUAUGGCGGUUUUCCAAUGGAAGCAGGAUGACAAUGACAACAGCUACUGCCAGCCAAAUUUGCAGUACAUUUCUUUAAGACCACAAGACAUGGUCUUCUUAAUGGGCAAGUUGGGAGAAGCAGGGGGCCUAUAGCUUCAAAGAUUUUCCUGAGCAUGGAGUAAAGAAGAAAUGAACCAUGCAGAAUAAAGAUCUGGGGCACUGUAGAGGAAGCUUGGAA